rnacentral:lncRNA from 1 species
GCCCGUGCGUCCGUGGCACGGAACGGCCGUUAGUCCCGGCAGAGGGCUCCGCGAAGACAGUGCCGUCGUUGGGCGCGCGCGCGGGCGGGAGCUGUCGGGGCGGGGCGGCACCGCCGAGCUCCGAGCUUUCCAGAAGCAAAAACAAAAAAAGUUCGGGUACAGCGGCUCACACCUGUAAUCCCAGCUCUUAGGGAGAUGGAAACUGGAGGAUCACUUGAGGCCAGGAGUUCAAGACCAGCCUGGGCAACAUAGCAAGACCCAGUCUCUUAAAAGAAAAUUAAAAAGAAAGAGUAAAUAAAGUUCCAGAAGCUUUGCUCUCCUUAUCCAAGCAGCGUUUGUACUUUGGCACUGGAAAGUGCGGGAGUCAGGGGUUUGUGAGAGCACGUGUUGGUUGUCGCAUUGGUCAGGAUGCACCCAUCACUCUGUAUCCUCCGGCUAAGGAGUGCUGGAGAGCCGUGAUGCCCACUGGCUGUUGUCCCGGGCUUGUCACUCAAAGACGGGACAGAUGUCUCCUUCCAGUUCUGGCCCAGACUGUCCUCUGAGCUGGGAGCACAGGGCUCCUCCCUGAGUAGAUGACCUGUCAGGUCAGCUGGAUCCAGAGGUCCCACAACCUCUCAAGGCAGAGCUGGCAGCUGUCCAGAAGGCAGCAGCCAUGAUAACAAACGUGGUUGGCCCAGGCCCAGACCUGCCCCCUGGCAACAGAGAACAGCAGGACUGGCUUUGACAUUGUUUUAGGGAGCCAGGCACCCUUCCCAGUCAGGGCAGAAGCCCCCUGGAGAGCUGGGCUCCUGACCUCACCGGCCUCCACCUCCUGAAGGCUCUGGCCAAAUCCACAUGUGACCUCAGGAAGGGAACACCCUCAGGAGUCCAAAGCCCCUGUUCCCCUGCUCGGUUGGCCACAGUCACUCUCCUGCCUCGGGGUUGUGUCUGUAGCAGGCUCUCUUGGGCAGCAGGGGUCAGGAGCACGGAGGGCAGACCCAAGACGGACCAGGCAUCUCUGGGGAGGCGACAUCCCCUCCCACCGGCAGCCCAGAGACAGGAGCUCCCCAGCAGUGCCCCUCAAGGCCAGAUUCGCAAGUAGGUGCCCGUGGAGCAAACAGAGAAAAGCGGGAACACGCGCUCCUGGAAGUUGACGCGGAAGGUGUAGAGGUGGCGCAUGUCCUCCACAGCGUAGAAGGACACGGCUCCCACCUCCAGGUCCAGGGCCACCCGCACGCGCGACAGGUGCCCGCAGCUGAGGGGCGACCGCUCGGGGCUGGUCACGGCCCAGUACUGGCCGCCGUUGAGCUGCAGGGCCCAGACGCCCUCCUCGGGAGUGAAGGGCGUCAGGCCCUUUCGGCGCACGCUCUCGCGGGCCACGCCAAAGGCCCAGCCGUCCUUAGAGCCCACCUCCACCUCCCAGUGAUGCCGGCCCGAGGAGAAGCCGCAGGACGCCAGGACGCGGGUGUUGGUGUCGAAGCGGCAGGGGUGGUUGGGCAGGUCCUGGGCCCGCUCGCCGAGGCGCACGCCCUUAAGAUCCAGAGAGAGGAUGAGGCGCGGGUUGGCCGUGUCGGGAUCCAAGGUGAGCUCCACUGCAGACAGAGACAGGGAGAAAUGUCCCCACGCAGCCAGGCCCCUGGCACAGUCUUUGCAGGGCCGCGCCCGACCUUGCUUUGCAACCUGCCUGCCUUUCCCUCUAGAAUCCCCCCAGCACCCAGCGCCAAGGCCCAACCAACCCCCACGCUCUGCCUCCCAGAGAUUUUGCUUCCCCCCGCCCCGACCACUCAACAAGUACUUACUGAAAUCAAACAAAUGCAAUGUGUGGGCCUGGUUUGAACCCCAAUUCAACAGAUGGGGAUAUUUGAAUGCUAGACAUUGGAAAGAAUCAUUAAUCUGUCCAGGUGUGAGGACUGCUUUGUGGUUAUGUUUUACAAAGUCUGUUUCUUUAGAGAUAACACACUGAGGUAUUUAUGGCAAUGAUAUGUUGUCUCUGAUGCUUUAAAAUAAUACAGUAGGCCAGGCGCAGUGGCUCACGCCAGUAAUUCCAGCACUUUGGGAGGCCAAGGUGUGUGGAUCACGAGGUCGGGAAAUCAAGAACAUCCUGGCUAACAUGGUGAAACCCCGUCUCUACUAAAAAUAAAAAAAUAAAAUAAAUUAGCCGGGCGUGGUGGCGGGCGCCUGUAGUCCCAGCUACUCGGGAGGCUGAGGCAGGAGAAUGGCAUGAACCCGGGAGGUGGAGAUUGCAGUGAGCUGAGAUCACGCCACUGCACUCCAGCCUGGGCGACAGAGCAAGACUCUGUCUCAAAAAUAAAAAUAAUAAUAACAAUAAUACAGUGGAGGCCGGGUGAGAUGGUGCACAGCUGCGAUACCAGCACUUUGGGAGGCCAAGGCCAAUGGGUCACAUGAGGUCAGAAGUUUGGGACCAGCUUGGGCAACAUGGCGGAAAACUUGUUUUGUAUUUUCUCUACUAAAAAUACAAAAAUUAGCCCGGCAUGGUGUCCUGUGCCUGUAAUUCCAGCUGUUUGGGAGGCUGAGGCAUGAGAAUCGCUUGAACCCAGGAGGCAGAGGUUGCAGUGAGCAGAGAUCAGGCCACUGUACUCCAUGAUCUCACUCCAGAGUAAGACCCUGUCUCAGAAAACAAAAUAAUCCCACAGGAAGUGGAUAGCAGUGUCUAUGAAAACUGUGGCCACUAAUUGAUCACUGCGGACGGUGAGAGAUGGGUAUGUAACAUUCUUUACACUCUUCUCUCUACUUUUGAGUAUGUUUGAAAUUUUUCAUAAUAAAAAGUUAAGGCCA